rnacentral:rRNA from 1 species
AGGAUGAACGCUGGCGGCGUGCCUAAUACAUGCAAGUCGAGCGGUAAGGCUACUUCGGUAGUACACGAGCGGCGGACGGCUGAGUAACACGUAGGAACGUACCCCAAAGUGAGGCAUAAGCACCAGAAAUGGUGUCUAAUACCGCAUGUGAUCUUCGGAUUAAAGCUUCGGCGCUUUGGGAACGGCCUGCGCAUGAUUAGCUUGUUGGUGAGGUAAUAGCUCACCAAGGCGACGAUCAUUAGCUGGUCUGAGAGGAUGACCAGCCAGACUGGGACUGAGAACGGCCCAGACUCCUACGGGAGGCAGCAGUAGGGAAUUUUCCACAAUGGGCGAAAGCCUGAUGGAGCAACGCCGCGUGCAGGACGAAGGCCUUCGGGUUGUAAACUGCUUUUAUAUGUGACGAUUAUGACGGUAGCAUAUGAAUAAGGAUACGGCUAACUCCGUGCCAGCAGCCGC